ACUCAAAUGAAUAGACGGGGACCCGCACAAGCGGUGGAUGAUGUGGAUUAAUUCGAUGCAACGCGAAAAACCUUACCUACCCUUGACAUGUCCGGGAUCCUGAUGAAAGUCGGGAGUGCUCGAAAGAGAACCGGAACACAGGUGCUGCAUGGCUGUCGUCAGCUCGUGUCGUGAGAUGUUGGGUUAAGUCCCGCAACGAGCGCAACCCUUGUCAUUAGUUGCUACAUUUAGUUGGGCACUCUAAUGAGACUGCCGGUGACAAACCGGAGGAAGGUGGGGAUGACGUCAAGUCCUCAUGGCCCUUAUGGGUAGGGCUUCACACGUCAUACAAUGGUCGGUACAGAGGGUUGCCAAGCCGCGAGGCGGAGCCAAUCUCAGAAAGCCGAUCGUAGUCCGGAUUGCAGUCUGCAACUCGACUGCAUGAAGUCGGAAUCGCUAGUAAUCGCGGAUCAGCAUGUCGCGGUGAAUACGUUCCCGGGUCUUGCACACACCGCCCGU
rnacentral:rRNA from 1 species